rnacentral:rRNA from 1 species
GACGAACGCUGGCGGCGUGCUUAACACAUGCAAGUCGAACGGAAAGGCCCUGCUUUUGUGGGGUGCUCGAGUGGCGAACGGGUGAGUAACACGUGAGUAACCUGCCCUUGACUUUGGGAUAACUUCAGGAAACUGGGGCUAAUACCGGAUAGUAGCUCCUGCUGCAUGGUGGGGGUUGGAAAGUUUCGGCGGUUGGGGAUGGACUCGCGGCUUAUCAGCUUGUUGGUGGGGUAGUGGCUUACCAAGGCUUUGACGGGUAGCCGGCCUGGGAGGGUGACCGGCCACAUUGGGACUGAGAUACGGCCCAGACUCCUACGGGAGGCAGCAGUGGGGAAUAUUGCACAACGGGCGGAAGCGUGAUGCAGAGGCGUCGCGAGCGGGAUGACGGCCUUCGGGUUAUAAACCGCUUUCGCCUGUGACGAGGCGUGAGUGACGGUAAUGGGUAAAGAAGCACCGGCUAACUACGUG